rnacentral:rRNA from 1 species
GAUGAACGCUGGCGGCGUGCUUAACACAUGCAAGUCGAACGAUUAACCCAUCUUCGGAUGGUCAUAAAGUGGCGAACGGGUGAGUAACACGUGACCAACCUGCCUUCCACAUUGGGAUAACUUAGAGAAAUCUAAGCUAAUACCAAAUACUCUUGGAACUUCGCAUGAAGAUCCAAGGAAAGCUUUUGCGGUGGAAGAUGGGGUCGCGGCCCAUUAGGUAGUUGGUGGGGUAGUGGCCUACCAAGCCGACGAUGGGUAGCCGGGUUGAGAGACCGACCGGCCACAUUGGGACUGAGAUACGGCCCAGACUCCUACGGGAGGCAGCAGUGGGGAAUUUUGCGCAAUGGGCGAAAGCCUGACGCAGCAACGCCGCGUGCGGGAUGACGGCCUUCGGGUUGUAAACCGCUUUCAGUGGGAAAGACAAUGACGGUACCCACACAAGAAGCUCCGGCUAAAUACGUGCCAGCAGCCGCGGUAAUACGUAUGGAGCAAGCGUUAUC